AUAUCGGAACGUGCCCAGUCGUGGGGGAUAACGCAGCGAAAGCUGUGCUAAUACCGCAUACGAUCUCUGGAUGAAAGCGGGGGACUCGCAAGGGCCUCGCGCGAUUGGAGCGGCCGAUAUCAGAUUAGCUAGUUGGUGGGGUAAAAGCCCACCAAGGCGACGAUCUGUAGCUGGUCUGAGAGGACGACCAGCCACACUGGAAAUGAGACACGGUCCAGACUCCUACGGGAGGCAGCAG
rnacentral:rRNA from 1 species